GAUGAACGCUGGCGGCGUGCCUAAUACAUGCAAGUCGAACGAAACUUCUUUAUCACCGAGUGCUUGCACUCACCGAUAAAGAGUUGAGUGGCGAACGGGUGAGUAACACGUGGGCAACCUGCCCAAAAGAGGGGGAUAACACUUGGAAACAGGUGCUAAUACCGCAUAACCAUAGUUACCGCAUGGUAACUCUGUAAAAGGUGGCUAUACUACCGCUUUUGGAUGGGCCCGCGGCGCAUUAGCUAGUUGGUAGGGUAAAGGCUUACCAAGGCAAUGAUGCGUAGCCGAAUUGAGAGGUUGAUCGGCCACAUUGGGACUGAGACACGGCCCAAACUCCUACGGGAGGCAGCAGUAGGGAAUCUUCCACAAUGGGCGAAAGCCUGAUGGAGCAACGCCGCGUGGGUGAAGAAGGUCUUCGGAUCGUAAAACCCUGUUGUUAGAGAAGAAAGUGCGUGAGAGUAACUGUUCACGUUUCGACGGUAUCUAACCAGAAAGCCACGGCUAACUACGU
rnacentral:rRNA from 1 species